rnacentral:rRNA from 1 species
UACGGAGGGUGCAAGCGUUAAUCGGAAUUACUGGGCGUAAAGCGCACGCAGGUGGCUGAGCGAGUCGAUUGUGAAAGCCCUGGGCUUAACCUGGGAAUUGCAGUCGAUACUACUCAGCUAGAGUAUGGGAGAGGGUAGUGGAAUUCCCGGUGUAGCGGUGAAAUGCGUAGAUAUAGGAAGGAACACCAGUGGCGAAGGCGACCACCUGGACUGAUACUGACACUGAGGUGCGAAAGCGUGGGGAGCAAACAGG